UACGGAGGGUGCAAGCGUUAAUCGGAACUACUGGGCGUAAAGCGUGCGUAGGUGGUUCGUUAAGUCCGUUGUGAAAGCCCCGAGCUCAACUUGGGAAUUGCAGUGGAUACUGGCGAGCUGGAGUGCGGUAGAGGAAGGUGGAAUUCCCGGUGUAGCGGUGAAAUGCGUAGAGAUCGGGAGGAACACCAGUGGCGAAGGCGGCCUUCUGGACCAGCACUGACACUCAAGCACGAAAGCGUGGGGAGCAAACAGG
rnacentral:rRNA from 1 species